UCGGUACUGUCAGAGACUUGG
rnacentral:piRNA from 1 species